rnacentral:rRNA from 1 species
UACGGGGGGUGCAAGCGUUGUCCGGAAUUAUUGGGCGUAAAGGGCUCGUAGGCGGUUUGUCGCGUCGGGAGUGAAAACUCAGGGCUCAACCCUGAGCGUGCUUCCGAUACGGGCAGACUAGAGGUAUGCAGGGGAGAACGGAAUUCCUGGUGUAGCGGUGGAAUGCGCAGAUAUCAGGAGGAACACCGGUGGCGAAGGCGGUUCUCUGGGCAUUACCUGACGCUGAGGAGCGAAAGCAUGGGGAGCGAACAGG